ensembl:lncRNA
AUCCAUAGACAUCCUAUUUAAAGGCUAGACGUCUCAUGGCGCACUCACUUCCGGCAUCACCGGUGGCCAUCUUAUCACAGGCAGGCUUCCUGUCGGGCUCUGUGGUACCUAAUAUAAGGUUCAGCCAGGACCACUUGGAGCUUCUCUUCAACUCCAUCAGAGUAUCUGGUAGGGUUCAUAAUUUAUAUUUACCAGCCGCAACACUAAGUGACUUGUAUUGUUUUCAGUUUGUCGGUCCAUAUGUUUUUUUACUUUUGGUAACAUGUGUUUUCUGCAGACAUACACCCUAACCCUAAGACAUACACAAUACCUGGAAGUGUCGCAAACCAUUUUGAGUAUUUAGAAAAAUGCCUGUGUUUGUCUAUUUGUUUGCAGAACUUAUCAUCACUGAUACAGUCUGAACUGUAUGAUAAUGUCAUUCAACCUAUUUUAUGUGGAAAGAUCAUUCGGGGUGGCUAGUUCUAAUUAGUCUUUUUUUGUAAAAAUGUUUUAAGCAUAAAACAUUUUAAAGCAUGUAUUGAAUAUCUGUGUACAAUUCUUUUAUAUCUUUUUUUUUUUCCUUAAACGAAUAACAACCCUAAUGCCAGCCAGUUCAAGUACAUCUUUAGGAUGUAAAGCUGAUGGCCCAGUGUGGGGUUGUUAAACCAUGCAGAGGCAAUGUGACGGCACAGGAUGACACAGAGUCCCUACCAGUUGUCAUCGACACCUCGACAAGCCUGUCAGCUGUAGAUGUGUCCUCUGCAGCAGGAGGAGAUCUUCCAUCCCCGUUUGCUGACAUUCCUGCCCUAGUACAUGAUCACAGCUACCUUCCCGUCCACUUCGAUGGUCUUGUGGACAACGCUCUCAUGUACAUUUCAGGCUCGGAAGAAGCUGUUGUGUGAUGUCUGCCGUGCAAGCCUGGUGACAUGCUGCAUCUGCCAUCAAGGACCAGAGCUACCACAUUCUGAAUUUAAAAAACAAUGGAGGUCUGGUGAUUCCAUCAGAGGGAACCAUGAGUGUCAUCAGGGCAGCAGAGUGGGUCAUUCGGCAGUCAUCAGGCAGUACCAGACGAUCACAGCCCAUCAAACUGCUUGAGCUUGAAAUUCACCCUUGGGCUCAGGAGUUUAUGUUCCCAAAAACGUGUUGUGGUCAGCUAGCCAUGCAAACACCCCCACUACCAUGGCACGGAUGCUCUUACUGGGAGUGUUUGAUAUCGAAACCCUUUUAAAGAGCAAUCUUAGAGGUGGUAAGUCCAAAAAUGUGAGCCCUGGGGAAACCAAAGAGCCAUUGGACAGGAUAAAAACUGAUGCAGUAAUGAAUGCAGUGAUCCAGAAGUUUCCUGGAACCACCAGGGGCCAACUAGGAGUGGCUAUUAAUCAAAAGGUGACUGAGCUGCGAACGUCCCAAAAGACUCGCACUUAAAUGAACCAGCUGUAUUGUACCUGUUGGUGGAUUUUCCUGUUCUUGUUUUUGUUGUGUUUGUAUAAUAAAGUUGAGUGUUUAGUAGUUUUCUA